rnacentral:rRNA from 1 species
AAUCAACGCUGGCGGCGUGCCUAACACAUGCAAGUCGAACGCGAAAGUCCCGCAAGGGAUGAGUAGAGUGGCAAACGGGUGAGUAACACGUGGGUGACCUGCCCUCAGCUCUGGGAUAAGCCCGGGAAACUGGGUCUAAUACCGGAUAUGACUCCAUGACGCAUGUUGUGGGUGGAAAGCCUUGUGCGGCUGAGGAUGGGCCCGCGGCCUAUCAGCUCGUUGGGGGGUGAGUGGCCUACCAAGGCGACGACGGGUAGCCGGCCUGAGAGGGCGACCGGCCACACUGGGACUGGAGACACGGCCCAGACUCCUACGGGAGGCAGCAGUGGGGAAUCGUUGCGCAAUGGGCGAAAGCCUGACGCAGCGACGCCGCGUGAGGGAUGACGGCCUGG